UACGUAGGGUGCGAGCGUUGUCCGGAAUUAUUGGGCGUAAAGAGCUCGUAGGCGGUGUGUCACGUCGGCCGUGAAAACCUGGGGCUUAACUCUGGGCGUGCGGUCGAUACGGGCAUCACUAGAGUUCGGCAGGGGAGACUGGAAUUCCUGGUGUAGCAGUGAAAUGCGUAGAUAUCAGGAGGAACACCGAUGGCGAAGGCAGGUCUCUGGGCUGACACUGACGCUCAUGCACGAAAGCGUGGGGAGCAAACAGG
rnacentral:rRNA from 1 species